rnacentral:rRNA from 1 species
AUUGAACGCUGGCGGCAGGCUUAACACAUGCAAGUCGAGCGGAGAUGAGGUGCUUGCACCUUAUCUUAGCGGCGGACGGGUGAGUAAUGCUUAGGAAUCUGCCUAUUAGUGGGGGACAACAUUCCGAAAGGAAUGCUAAUACCGCAUACGUCCUACGGGAGAAAGCAGGGGAUCUUCGGACCUUGCGCUAAUAGAUGAGCCUAAGUCGGAUUAGCUAGUUGGUGGGGUAAAGGCCUACCAAGGCGACGAUCUGUAGCGGGUCUGAGAGGAUGAACCGCCACACUGGGACUGAGACACGGCCCAGACUCCUACGGGAGGCAGCAGUGGGGAAUAUUGGACAAUGGGGGGAACCCUGAUCCAGCCAUGCCGCGUGUGUGAAGAAGGCCGUAUAGUUGUAAAGCACUUUAAGCGAGGAGGAGGCUACUGAGACUAAUACUCUUGGAUAGUGGACGUUACUCGCUGAAUAAGCACCGGCUAACUCUGUGCCAGCCGCCGCCGUAAGAC